AAGCAAUUUGCUCAUAGCCAUAGCUUUCUUGUGAAAGUAGGAUAUUAACCCAGGUGUCUUGGUGCUGGAGAACAGAACUGGCCAGAGUCCAUCCUGUCUCCCACCGGCAUCCCAUUACGAAAUGAACACAGAAAAGGCAGGUCUGCAAUGCCAACAUCUAGUAUCUAUCCCAAAGACCAGGGAGAAAGGAAGGAAAGAUUCUGGUUCUGUCCUCUUCCCCAAGGCAAGGCUGGCUGCCCUACCAACAGAGGCAAAGAGAAGAGUGUGCAAGGCUGGCUGCCCUCCCAACAGAGGCAAAGAGGAGUGUGUGUUGAAAUAUCCAUUGAAUCCCUGAGACAACUGGAUCCUGGCCCAUUGAAUCAUAAACUCAAAUCUCACAUCAUAACCCCAAAUGACCUGUUACUCACCAUGUGGCCCAGCUGUCUUCAAACUCACCAGCCUCCUGCCUUAGCCUUCUAAAUGCUUGGAUUACAGGCAUGACCCACCAUAACUGGCUUUGUUUUAGUUUCAGAGAAGAUGAAACUGAUGUGCGUCAAAAAGCUGGUAGUCUGUCAAGGAAAUGAGCUGAACAUGUCUGUGUACAGCUUUUGUGCCAUCCCUGGAUGAGCGAGCUGUCUGCCUCUAUGUUCUCCACAAAAUGGAAUAUAGCUGUACACCCAAGCCAAGUUAUGGAGGCUGGGAAGACCUAGAAUGUGGCAUCACUAUUUGCUGAAAUUUUUAAUAUAAUGCCUCUUAGCCUGGUUUGGAGAAAACGUCACAGAGAGGCACCAUUUGUUGUGGUUUUACAUGAAAAUUUUCUGACCCUGAACCUGGUUUGAUGGAAAUCAUUUGCUGAGGUAAUUAUCUCAAAUUAACUACCAAGCUGAUGAAUCGCUUACUACUUAAAAGCUGUGAUGGGGAGAGGAGUAAUUGAGAGCGGCCUUGUUGGGAGGGGAUGUGGACAUUUUUUUUUUCAGCAGCCAAUCAACUUAGAGGUUUUUUUUUGUUUUGUUUUGUUUUGUUUUUGUCUUGUUUUUUUUUCUGUGUAGAAUCUGAAUGUAUUGUCACAAGGUGAACACCAG
rnacentral:lncRNA from 1 species